UGUGUAGGCGGUUGUUUAAGUUUGGUGUGAAAUCUCCCGGCUCAACUGGGAGGGUGCGCCGAAUACUGAAUGACUAGAGUGCGGGAGAGGAAAGUGGAAUUCCUGGUGUAGCGGUGAAAUGCGUAGAUAUCAGGAGGAACGCCGGUGGUGUAGACGGCUUUCUGGACCGUAACUGACGCUGAGACACGAAAGCGUGGGUAGCAAACAGGAUUAGAUACCCUGGUAGUCCACGCCCUAAACGAUGCAUAUUUGGUGUGGGCAGUUCAUUCUGUCCGUGCCGGAGCUAACGCGUUAAAUAUGCCGCCUGGGGAGUACAGUCGCAAGGCUGAA
rnacentral:rRNA from 1 species